AAUCUUCGGCAAUGGACGAAAGUCUGACCGAGCGACGCCGCGUGGAGGAUGAAGGCCUUCGGGUUGUAAACUCCUGUUGGGAGGAAGCAAAUUUUGAGCGACCUCCUGAGGAAGCACGGGCUAAGUUCGUGCCAGCAGCCGCGGUAAGACGAACCGUGCGAACGUUAUUCGGAAUCAUUGGGCUUAAAGGGCGCGUAGGCGGCGGUGUAAGUUGGAAGUGAAAUCCCAUCGGCUCAACCGUGGAAUUGCUCCCAGUACUGCAUCGCUCGAGGGGGAUAGGGGUCUGCGGAACUACCGGUGGAGCGGUGAAAUGUGUUGAUAUCGGUGGGAACGCCAGUGGCGAAAGCGGCAGACUUGACCCUUCCUGACGCUGAGGCGUGAAAGCUAGGGGAGCAAAC
rnacentral:rRNA from 1 species